rnacentral:rRNA from 1 species
AUUGAACGCUAGCGGGAUGCUUUACACAUGCAAGUCGAACGGCAGCGCGGACUUCGGUCUGGCGGCGAGUGGCGAACGGGUGAGUAAUGUAUCGGAACGUGCCCAGUAGCGGGGGAUAACUACGCGAAAGCGUAGCUAAUACCGCAUACGCCCUACGGGGGAAAGCAGGGGAUCGUAAGACCUUGCACUAUUGGAGCGGCCGAUAUCGGAUUAGCUAGUUGGUGAGGUAACGGCUCACCAAGGCGACGAUCCGUAGCUGGUUUGAGAGGACGACCAGCCACACUGGGACUGAGACACGGCCCAGACUCCUACGGGAGGCAGCAGUGGGGAAUUUUGGACAAUGGGGGCAACCCUGAUCCAGCCAUCCCGCGUGUGCGAUGAAGGCCUUCGGGUUGUAAAGCACUUUUGGCAGGAAAGAAAACGUCGCGGGCUAAUACCCCGUGGAACUGACGGUACCUGCAGAAUAAGCACCGGCUAACUACGUG